rnacentral:tRNA from 1 species
GGGGCUAUAGCUUAGUGGUAGGGUCCAUGCUUGGCAUGCACGAGGUCCUGGGUUCAAUCCCCAGCACCUCCA